CCCUCCAGUGUACUGACUUGUCCUGUGCUGCAGCACAAGCCUUGUUAAAAUACUCAUUUUGGUAGUCCCGUAAACCUGCUCUUGAUUUAUUUUGUAGUUGGGGUGUGCAUCAAGAGUCCCGUAAAUCUACUUGGGAUUCUUAUCCUGAGUAAUGAGGACAGAGUGGUAGGUUCAAAAGGAAGAACAACACUAGCUGGUAUUCGAACUGAAGAGCUCCAGAGACGGGGAGCCAACAAAGAUCAGUAGCAGAGACCAACCCUCGUGUAGAUUUGACCUACAGCCUUUGGCACAAUCUGGCACUAGAUGGCAGAAACAGUAAUCAGCAGUGUGCUAUGUCAACUGUUGGCAUCCAGCAUUAUCCAGUGACAUCAGGACUGCUAGCAGGGCUAUGCUUUGCCAGUUCAUGAUUUCCACCUGACUAAAGCAAAAGAACCCUAAGCUGAUGGACAGCAUUCAUUUAACCAUUUCCCUACCAGUUCUUUCUUUCCCUUCCAAGAAACUACUUGCAUUCAAAUCCCUGGCUCUGGGUUGGUUUCUGGAGAAACUUUCCAAUCCAACCACCAAACUCUUGCAGGAGAGGGAGAUGAACACUAAUGUUAAGGGUCUUCAGAUUUCCAACUCAGACUCACACUAGUGACUCACCAGUGACCUUCCGGGCCUUCAACCUUAGACUGGUGCUACAUCCUUGAUCCAUCUUAUUCUUCAGUUUCCAUCUUCUUGGGCUGAGCAGCUACUGGAUUCUCCAGAUCUCCAGGAUGCAGAUGUGACCAUUGUGGAUUCUCCCAUCUCUGAUCUUAUGUUACAGCUUUGUUCAGAGGUCAGAUUUCAAAGGAAGCAAAAGACUGAGAUCCUGAGAGAUGAAGGAGGCAGAAUUUCCUGCUAACCUGGAUAACACCAAUGAAAGGAAUCAGAAGGUGAUCUCAUCGCUUCAAUCUCAGGAAUUGGGACCAUCCAUUGUUCCAAUGGAAGAAACAGAACAACAAUGUAAUUAAUCUACAGAGGCACUGCAGGUGAGGACUCUGCAAAAUUAAAGGACCAAUGUGUUGACAGAAUUAACUUAGGAUUCACUUUUCAACAAUAUAUCAGCACACAGAGAUGAACAGAAAUCUAACAUCUUUUCUA